AGCUUUGCACAGUGGCAGUAUUGUAGCCAGUGAGGUUUAUCUGAGGCGUGAUUAUGGCUGAUUGAAAACUUACAUGCCAUCAUUAUUGGUGUCUCUUUUCUGAGUCUCAGCCAGCUGA
ensembl:snRNA U4 U4 spliceosomal RNA